UUUAAAUAGAUGGAGAGCUUUCACUAUUCAACAGUUGUCAGAGGGAGACAAAAAGGGUUCUAGAACAAAAAGAGAUAGUCAGAUAACUCACUUAUUUGUUUAGUUUUCCUCUUUCAGGUUGAACCGCCUCUAUCAAUUAAUGUGAUAGCUUCGGGAAAAACAGUGCCCAAUUGAAGUUAUGAUUUCAAGACAAAUUGGUUUGUGUUAUUAAUUAUAUUAUUUGAAAACUUAUUAUAUUUAUGUUGUGAUUGCUGGAGACUCAGUGUUGAUUGCUGGAGACUUAGAAUAGAAUGGGAAGUGAGACUCCCUUACAGGAGUCGAACCAUAGUUCAUAAGAUGGAAAGAAAAGUACAUAAAUAGGUCUGACAGGUGAGAGAAGCGAGUUGUUGGCUGAUGUCCCAAUGAGUCUCUAUUCAUCUUCAUUCAAGGCAUGACGCAUUUGACCGAGUGGAGACAGCUGUGGAAGCAGCAAUCCCUUGCCUCAUGAAGGAGAUAAGCUUUACGUUAUCUAGCCUAUUUCCUCAACUUCGUCGACCAUUGGAACUCCUUUGUAAAAAAACAAAAAGUGUUAUAAAACUAAAGAGAUUGUUGUGAGAAUAUAGAGAAAUUAUAGAAUCUGAUGUUUUCAUUGAGUCUGUUGUUCUAUCUAUUACAAUGAGGAGGGUGCCUUAUUUUAUAGGCAAAGAUUAUUGCCUUCCGUGGAUGUACAGUUUGCUCUCAAG
rnacentral:lncRNA from 1 species